rnacentral:rRNA from 1 species
GAUGAACGCUGGCGGCGUGCCUAAUACAUGCAAGUCGAGCGAAUGGAUUAAGAGCUUGCUCUUAUGAAGUUAGCGGCGGACGGGUGAGUAACACGUGGGUAACCUGCCCAUAAGACUGGGAUAACUCCGGGAAACCGGGGCUAAUACCGGAUAACAUUUUGAACCGCAUGGUUCGAAAUUGAAAGGCGGCUUCGGCUGUCACUUAUGGAUGGACCCGCGUCGCAUUAGCUAGUUGGUGAGGUAACGGCUCACCAAGGCAACGAUGCGUAGCCGACCUGAGAGGGUGAUCGGCCACACUGGGACUGAGACACGGCCCAGACUCCUGCGGGAGGCAGCAGUAGGGAAUCUUCCGCAAUGGACGAAAGUCUGACGGAGCAACGCCGCGUGAGUGAUGAAGGCUUUCGGGUCGUAAAACUCUGUUGUUAGGGAAGAACAAGUGCUAGAUGAAUAAGCUGACACCUUGACGGUACCUAACCAGAAAGCCGCGGCUAACUACGUGCCAGCCGCCGCAGUAA